GCUCCGAUAGCUCAGUUGGUAGAGCAACUGACUCUUAAUCAGUAGGUCUAGGGUUCGAAUCCCUGUCGGAGCA
rnacentral:tRNA from 2 species